GAUUCUAAAAAUCUGGUCUGGAAUUUAAUAGGUAAUCCGAGUGAAGUAAAAACAGAAUCGGAUACCACAAGCGUCAAAUCUUGAGCAACCCCAUCUCACUUUUCACUUGCUAAUCAAUAUUCAGAAAGAGAGAGAGCAAGCAGGGCGAAGGAAGAUAAAGAAAAUUCCAAAUGAAGCUGUUGAUGAAGAUGAAAUAUUGCUGCUAGAUUCUGCGGAGUGAAUUUGAGAGAAUUUGGAACAGAGAGAGGCCAAGAAGAGAG
rnacentral:misc_RNA from 1 species